rnacentral:lncRNA from 1 species
GUUAAAUCAUGGUUUCCUGCUUGUCUGCUCCCCAGACUAAACUGAAGAAGUCAAAUGGCAGAAAACACAUUUUUUAAAGAAAAAAAAUAGUCUGGACAAAGGAUGAGAGUGACCCAGAGUGACUGAAUUGGCAGCCCCAAACCUAAGGCACAGUGACAAGACCUGGAUCAUCUGAACCUUCCCUUUACUCCCAGACUACAUGAGCCUUUGUGAAGGCAUACAUAUCUCUCUCCUUCCCUGUUUCGGUCACUUCUUUUCUUCAUCUUUCUCUCCUCGGGUCCUCCACCACAAACUAGAAGUCCACUCUUUUCCCUGUUUUUAGAAGUCAGUUCCUGGUUCCCUAUUCCUCGAGAAUAUGCUAAUACAUACCUCUUGUACCCCUUGACUUUUUCACAGGUUGUUUUAAGGGUUUCUUCUGCUGGUGUUUUUUCUUCUCUUUAUGUUUCAUGGUUCAACUCUUCGCAGAAUUGCUGAUAUCAACCCAGCCCGGAGCUCCAGUCCGGAGGGAGAUCGCGGUUUGCGUCGGAUGGGUUUGAGGUUUCUCUGCUCAAUCAGAGUCCCCGGCUGUGCGCAGCCCGCCCUGCUGCACGGAGGCUCAGGACACACGCGCGCACCCGGCCUUCACCCGACCGAGACCCCAGCCAGCGCGGCGUCAGCGAGGGGACACCGCUCCCCGCACUGCCCGACCGCGCCCGGCCCGGGCAGCUGCUCCUAGGCUCCACAGGGACCGCCCCUCCCGCCCCGCCCCCAGGCGUAGCCUCGGAGUGGCGGUGGUGAGGACAACAGGACCUGUGGAGGGCCUCUGGGCGCCCCAAUUCAGGUCCCGCGCAUGCAUGCCUCAAACCCCAGGCAGAGUCGUCAUCCUUGCGGCUCGGG